rnacentral:rRNA from 1 species
CCCUUAGAUGUUCUGGGCCGCACGCGUGCUACACUGAGUAAUUCAAUGGGUAAGGGAACGCUAGAGCAUUACCUAAUCUUGAAAUUUGCUCGUGAUGGGGAUCGACGGUUGCAAUUUUCCGUCGUGAACGAGGAAUACCUUGUAGGCGCAUGUCAUCAUCAUGCGCCGAAUACGUCCCUGCCCUUUGUACACACCGCCCGUCGCUCCUACCGAUUGAGUGAUCCGGUGAGGCUCUGGGACCUGGACGGAAAGAGCGUUUCGCUUAUUCUGUUUGGGAAACUUGGUCGAACCUUAUCAUUUAGAGGAAGGAGAAGUCGUAACA